GACGAACGCUGGCGGCGUGCUAACACAUGCAAGUCGAACGGUAAGGCCCUUCGGGGUACACGAGUGGCGAACGGGUGAGUAACACGUGGGUGAUCUGCCCUGCACUUCGGGAUAAGCCUGGGAAACUGGGUCUAAUACCGGAUAGGACCACUGCCUGCAUGGGUGGUGGUGGAAAGCUUUUGCGGUGUGGGAUGGGCCCGCGGCCUAUCAGCUUGUUGGUGGGGUGAUGGCCUACCAAGGCGACGACGGGUAGCCGGCCUGAGAGGGUGACCGGCCACACUGGGACUGGGAGACGGCCCAGACUCCUACGGGAGGCAGCAGUGGGGAAUAUUGCACAAUGGGCGCAAGCCUGAUGCAGCGACGCCGCGUGAGGGAUGACGGCCUUCGGGUUGUAAACCUCUUUCAGCACCGACGAAGCGCAAGUGACGGUAGGUGCAGAAGAAGGACCGGCCAACUACGUGCCAGCCGCCGCCGUAAGAC
rnacentral:rRNA from 1 species